UGACGGAGCGCAUGUUCUCCUCGCUGAAGGAGCCGUUGAUCAGGGUGGCGAUGUAGACGCCCCGUACGCCUUCAACACGAUGGAAGUCAGCGAAGGGCUCGUUGGCAAAAUACCUGCAAGGAAACGUGAAGGUGAUUAAGCACACUCUACGUUACCUGACCAAGGUGUCACUCCCAGCUCCUCCCGGGCUGUAGUAGAGGAUAUUUUCCAAAGACAGGGAGAACUUCAAGCUUUCUGCCUCCGAGAUGUAGAGGUUGGUACGGUUGUCAUCAUGGCUGACGCACACGAACACCUGGUCCUCCAAGGCAUCGGCAACGUAAUAUUCCUUUGGGAUGCAAACGACAGGACUGUACUGGACCUGCACACUGCCCUGGGUAUUCCGGUAUGUCCCCAGAGGCCUGAAAUGCUAAAGUUCAAUUUUGUAAACCUCAACAUCAUCCUAACAGGAGGUUUUCCUCAGCCAAACCCCCGAGCAGGGUCAUCCGAGGUCCCUCCCCAGCUCCAAGGCCUGCAGCACCCGUCAGAACGCAGAGAGCCGCUGUUGACAUCUGAAGGCACCCUUGGAAAAGGAGGGAGAUAAAAGGUCUGCUCAGAAAGCACCACUUACCUUAAUUGGAUGCUUGGUAACGAACUGCGCCACGCGCAUCGGCUUGCGGUUGAAGGAAACCCAGAGCUGGAGCGAAGGCGGCUGUGAGGUGCCUUGCAAACGCUGCGGCAGAGCAGAGGGACACGUUAGGAGCGGCUCUCACUGCCAAAACACCCUCGUUUCCUGCAGCAGCCGAAAUGCAAUACCAGGGCAAAUCCACAGACCGCGGGGCUGGGACUUGACCUGCCUUGUGUGCAGGGAAAGCAACAGAAAACCCCGCUCCCUUGCCAGGCUGGAGCACAUUAAGCUACUCGGAGCCAGACCGCGUUUGAUGGUAAUCCCCUCUGACAAGCGGCCUCCAAACCACCGAGCUGCAUCCCUUCCUCUACCACCGUCCAUCUUCCCCGGGUGUUUUCCGGGUCCCAGCACUUUGCAGCCUGACCUACUUCUGCCCAGCCUGCAGACACGGCGCUCCGCGCCCCCGCGGGACAGCGGCAUCGGGAGGUGCUGCUGCGUGUCCACGGAGGCGUGAGGGUGUCCGAACAACACCUGUGUGACAAGCGGAACGCGAGGCGGGAAGGCUGCAGCAAACAGGAGCAUCCCUAGGAAACGCUCUCGCUGCGCUUUAGACACAUUCCCCGCCGUGGCCGUGUACUGUACCAAAAAGCAUCAACUGUCCCCCUUGGUGGCGAACUGCUCAUGCGGUACUCACCGCAGACUUUGUGGCGAACAUGUAUUUGUCCCUGAGCUGGAAGUCUUCGACAUCUUCCAGGAUUACUUCUUUAUUUUCUCGGCUUUGAAAGAAAUCGGUGCUGCGAAUGACGGUCGAAGCCCCCGAAGGCUCGUGGCGCUCGAUGUACACCGUGUUCGGCUUAUCGUAGGGCUCUACUCCCCUGGAAAGAGCAAGAAAGGUGGUGGUGUUACCUCAGUACUCAUAGAGCAAUGCAGAAAGCACCAGGGAGUACAAGGAGACUUUGCAAGAAGUGGGGUGAGUGUGUAAGAAGCAGGGGGAAUGCGGAGCACGUCCCCACGGUGCAGGGGCUCUGCUGGGCGAGCGGAGCGGGCGGCCGGGGCUGGAACACACUUGGAUACAUACCAAGAAAAAGACUUGACGUGUUCUUGUAUCAUGAUCCAGGUCUGGCCAAAAUCAUCCGAUUUCCAGAGCUGCAACAACAAAGAGUCCAGUGGGAUCAAACAGACCCAGCCCUUUAAGAGACCCAACCUCAGGCAGCAAAGGCAGGAUGGACGUGCGUCCAUCACAGAACCGAGAAUUACUUUGAUGACUUGUCCUUUUGUAGCAGCUGCCCAGAGCACCAGCAAUCCUUACAGCUGCAGAAUAACUAAAACAGGAUGCGACCUGUCGAAGCCCAAGAGCAGGUUGGGGUCCCUGCCAUGCAGGAGGAGGUCUGCGGCUCGGAAGGGAAUCGAGAAGCCCUGAAUCUUGUUGCAGAAGUCAGUGGUGAUCCAGAGCGCAGGGCUGUAGCUCAGCAGCCGCUAACACCUGUCCCGGUACAGAAGGUGCUCCGGGACAACACCAGGUUGCGUUACUUACGUCGCUGUUUUUGGGACCCAGCAGAGACAGGCUGUCUCUGGCCAAAGCCACAAUCACGUUGCUCUUCUCUCCCGCCCAGUGAACGACCAUCUGGUUGUGGGAGUCGUUGAGGCUGACCUGCAACACCAAGGAAAAGGGGCCGUCAAGAGGGCAAACACCCGCUUGACCACCGCUCCUCACAAACGCACAGGCGGUGGGAAUUUAAAUCAAACCACCAUUUUCUGAGGUUUUUGGGCCUUCAUCCCAGUCCCACCUCCCUCCGCGGUCUCAUUUUAUACCCCGCCACGCAAAGCACAGCACAAAGGGGUUGGAAACCUCUGCUGACCCAACAGGGAUUACACAGACAGUGCCACCGAGCCACGGCUGGCGUCACACCGCAGCCACCUCAGAGAGGUAUUUGCCACAAGCCACCAAAGAGUUAAAGAGGGGGGGACAUUAGAUCAUGGCCCUAUGUAAACAACAUCUCUCAAACUUUAUGUUACCAAAAUGUACCUAAAGGGGUUCGUUUUCCAUUUAUUAUCCCUUAUGGAAAUGGAUUUGGGGGGAUGAUGAGUAUGAAAACUGUGACGAAGUGUCAAGAAGUGAUUUGAAAUCUUGGCUGAUUAGGGAAACAGUCACCUCUCUACCGGGAUUUUUGUACUCAAAAGGAUGUGCCAGGUUCCAAAAUAAAGGCGGCUGUAGGCGAUCCCAUUUUU